AACGAACGCUGGCGGCAUGCCUAACACAUGCAAGUCGAACGAGACCUUCGGGUCUAGUGGCGCACGGGUGCGUAACGCGUGGGAACCUGCCCUUAGGUUCGGAAUAACUCCCCGAAAGGGGUGCUAAUACCGGAUAAUGUCUUCGGACCAAAGAUUUAUCGCCUUUGGAUGGGCCCGCGUUGGAUUAGCUAGUUGGUAGGGUAAAAGCCUACCAAGGCGACGAUCCAUAGCUGGUCUGAGAGGAUGAUCAGCCACACUGGGACUGAGACACGGCCCAGACUCCUACGGGGGGCAGCAGUGGGGAAUAUUGGACAAUGGGCGAAGGCCUGAUCCAGCAAUGCCGCGUGAGUGAUGAAGGCCUUAGGGUUGUAAAGCUCUUUUACCCGGGAUGAUAAUGACAGUACCGGGAGAAUAAGCUCCGGCUAACUCCGUG
rnacentral:rRNA from 1 species